GACGAACGCUGGCGGCGUGCCUAAUACAUGCAAGUUGAGCGCUGAAGGUUGGUACUUGUACCGACUGGAUGAGCAGCGAACGGGUGAGUAACGCGUGGGGAAUCUGCCUUUGAGCGGGGGACAACAUUUGGAAACGAAUGCUAAUACCGCAUAAAAACUUUAAACACAAGUUUUAAGUUUGAAAGAUGCAAUUGCAUCACUCAAAGUUGAUCCCGCGUUGUAUUAGCUAGUUGGUGAGGUAAAGGCUCACCAAGGCGAUGAUACAUAGCCGACCUGAGAGGGUGAUCGGCCACAUUGGGACUGAGACACGGCCCAAACUCCUACGGGAGGCAGCAGUAGGGAAUCUUCGGCAAUGGACGAAAGUCUGACCGAGCAACGCCGCGUGAGUGAAGAAGGUUUUCGGAUCGUAAAACUCUGUUGGUAGAGAAGAACGUUGGUGAGAGUGGAAAGCUCAUCAAGUGACGGUAACUACCCAGAAAGGGACGGCUAACUACGUG
rnacentral:rRNA from 1 species